ACAAGCAGCGGAGCGUGUGGUUAAUUCGAUGUUACACGAAGAACCUUACCAGGGUUUGACAUGCAAGUGGUAGGAAGCCGAAAGGUGACCGACCCUUCGGGGAGCUUGCACAGGUGCUGCAUGGCUGUCGUCAGCUCGUGUCGUGAGAUGUUCGGUUAAGUCCGCUAACGAGCGCAACCCUCGCUGUGUGUUAUAUGUGUCACACGGGACUGCCGGUCUUAAGCCGGAGGAAGGUGGGGAUGAUGUCAAGUCAGCAUGGCCUUUAUAUCCUGGGCUACACACACGCUACAAUGGCCAACACAAUAGGUUGCUAAGCCGCGAGGUGGCGCCAAUCCAUAAAGUUGGUCUCAGUUCAGAUUGUAGGCUGCAACCCGCCUGCAUGAAGAUGGAGUUGCUAGUAACCGCAGGUCAGCAAUACUGCGGUGAAUACGUUCCCGGGUCUU
rnacentral:rRNA from 1 species